rnacentral:tRNA from 1 species
CCGGGCGUGGCGGAACUGGUAGACGCAAGGGACUUAAAAUCCCUCGACUUAGGUCAUCCGGGUUCGAGUCCCGGCGCCCGGACCA